rnacentral:rRNA from 1 species
CCAGCGAUCCGCCUGAGUUCCUUAAAUGACUCGGCGGGCAGCUUCCGGGAAACCAAAGUUUUUCGGUUCCGGGGGAAGUAUGGUUGCAAAGCUGAAACUUAAAGGAAUUGACGGAAGGGCACCACCAGGAGUGGAGCCUGCGGCUUAAUUUGACUCAACACGGGAAAACUUACCCGGCCCGGACACUGGCAGGAUUGACAGAUUGAGAGCUCUUUCUUGAUUCAGUGGGUGGUGGUGCAUGGCCGUUCUUAGUUGGUGGAGCGAUUUGUCUGGUUAAUUCCGAUAACGAACGAGACUCUAGCCUACUAAAUAGGCCACCGGCUUACUGACGUCGGUGGGACUUCUUAGAGGGACAGGCGGCGAUUCAGCCGCACGAAACAGAGCAAUAACAGGUCUGUGAUGCCCUUAGAUGUCCGGGGCCGCACGCGCGCUACACUGAAGUGAUCAGCGUGCAUUACAAACCUGCUCCGUCAGGAGUGGGGAACCCAAUGAACCUUCUUCGUGAUUGGGAUAGGGGAUUGUAAUUAUUCCCCUUGAACGAGGAAUUCCCAGUAAGCGCGAGUCAUAAGCUCGCGUUGAUUACGUCCCUGCCCUUUGUACACACCGCCCGUCGCUACUACCGAUUGAAUGAUUUAGUGAGGUCUUCGGACUGGCCGGCGCAGCUGUCUUCGGGCGGC